AUUGUAGUAAUAACAAUUAUGAAGCAAAAAAUUAUGGCGGUAUUUUAAGCUUUUCAGAGGAAUUUGCUCUUUAAUGGAUAAAACACCUAAAUCUUACUUAAAUUUGCUAAACCAAUUUGUAUACCACUAUAAAAUUAAUUAUUAACUUUAAUUAAUAAAAUUUAUAAGACAUUAAAUUAAAUUAAGUCAAGGUGCAGUAUAAGUUUAAGUAUGAAGUGAAUUACAUUUCUUUUAAGAGAGGCUAAAUUAAAUUUAAAAAUUAGGAUUUGAAAGUAAAGUUAAAAUAGAAUGUUAACUUGAAUAAAGCUCUAAAAUAUGUAC
rnacentral:rRNA from 1 species